GCAGAGUGUGGGGGCCUGUGCACCAUGGAUGGGGCUCCCCUUCUCCUCGCCCUCCUGGCUCACUGCACAGGGUCCUGGGCGGAGGUUGUGUUUACUCAGCCCGGCUCUGUGUCGGGGUCUCCGGGACAGAAGGCCGUCAUCUCCUGCACCCGCAGCAGCGGCAGCAUUGGAGGCUACUAUGUGUCCUGGUACCAGCAGCGCCCGGGCAGGGCCCCCACCAUGGUGAUCUACGGAGAUGAUGAAAGACCCUCGGGGGUCCCAGAUCGGUUCUCUGGCUCCAUUGACAGCUCCUCCAACGCCGCCCACCUGACCAUCUCAGGGCUGCAGCCCGAGGAUGAGGCCGAUUACUACUGUCAGUCCUAUGACAGUGGCUAUACUAAGAACACAGAGCUCCAGGCUCACGGGGAAGUGAGACAAAAACUCCCCAGAGCCUGGGUCCUGGGGCUGCCUUCACCUGCCCCAUAG